AUAUAACUAAGCGGAGGAAAAGAAACUAACCAGGAUUCCUUUAGUAACGGCGAGUGAACAAGGAAGAGCCCAUCACCGAAUCCUUCUUGGCUUCCAGGUAAGGAGUUGUGGUGUAAAGGACAGUCUUCGUUGUAGUAUUGUCGGUCCGAGUUCUCUUGAAUGGGGCUUUACCAGAGCGGGUGUCAGUCCUCUAGCGGCCGCCACA
rnacentral:rRNA from 1 species